AUGUUCUCUGUAGCUCUGCUGCUGCUGCUGGCUGCUGGAUCCUGUGUAAAGUGUGAAGAGCUGAUACAACCAGCCUCUGUGACUGUGCAGCCAGGUCAACGUCUGACCAUCAGCUGUCAGGUCUCUUAUUCUCUGGACAGCUAUUGGACACACUGGAUCAGACAGCCUGAUGGGAAAGGACUGGAGUGGAUUGGUGAUGCACAAAGUGGUGGCAAGUCAGACUACAAUGAUAUGCUAAAAAACAAGUUCAGCAUUACGUUACAGAUUUCCAGUAAAACAGUGACUCUGAAUGGACAGAAUAUGAUGCCUGAAGACUCUGCUGUGUAUUACUGUGCCAGACGAGACCACAGUGAUACAAACCAGCAGCACAGCUGUACAAAAACCCCUCAGAACAUUUGUAAUACAAACUCACCAGAGGAGGCACUCUUGAAUCAGCUUUAUAUAGACUGGAUAAAUUGA